rnacentral:lncRNA from 1 species
UGCAUCAUCUUUGAUCUUAAGAUAUGCUUCCUCUUCAAUAUUACUCAAACAAGUACCAUCUAGUUCUUCACUAUUGGUCAGAUAAAAUUUGAAGGUACCUUCUACGAAAUCAGACCUUGAAUUUAGCAUCAUUCUCUUAAUGGAAGGGCAAUCAUAUGCCAAAACAUGGUUUAGAUUUGGUGGAAGCUUUGGAACACAUUGAAGUAAUUUGCAAUCACUUAAAUCAAGUGAUCUCAAACUUGACAGAUGAGCCAUGCUCUCAGGAAGGUUCACAAUACUGCUUCCUUGCAGUGAAAGUUCAGUCAAGGAUGACAAGCAGACACUGUCAUUUGGUAUUUCAGGAAAGGUCUGAAGCAUUGAGCAACCUUUGAAAUUGAGUUCUGUCAACUUCAAUUUGAAAAUGCUGCUUGGAAAAGUUUCAAGUGAUUCACAGUUGGUAAGGUCUAAUUCGAGGAGUUUACUGAGAUUUCCAAUGGAAGAUGGAAUACUCUUAAGCUUUGUGCAUCUUUGCAAGAUCAGCUUUUCAAGCCCGGCCAAACGGUCCAGAGAUGAAGGUAGUUCUUUUAUUGCUGUUUUGUUUAAGUAGAGCACUUUUAAAUUUUCCAUAGUCUCCUUGAUUUCAGGUAACUCCUCCAACUUUAAACAACCACUGAGAUCAAGUUUUCUUAGAAACUUUAAAUUUAAAAGUUCUGCUGAUAGGGAUGUUAGGGACUUGCAUCUGAAAAUAUCUAACCAAUAAAAAUCAUUGAUACUAGUUACUGGAAAUGAUCCCAGAGUAAAGUACACCCCUUGUCCCAAAAAAAAUUUCAUUCUUUCAAACUUAUAAUAUCUAUAAGAAUGAGUAAAUUGAACCACAUGAUCAGUUCUACUGCUGAUUAAAAGUGUUUCAAGGUUGUAACAAUUACUGAGAGACACUAAUCCAGAUGGUCUUGAUAGAAUAUUGCUAGGAAUAUCUAUACUCUUGAGUUCAGUACAACCUUCCAUAGAUAAAAUGUAAAGGUUGUUGAGGAAGCUAGAGGAGUAAACUUCUGUCAAACUUAUACAGCCAUUAAGACGUACUUCUUCAAUAUUUGGACAAAAAGAGAGGUCUGGUAGUCUUGUCAGCUUCUUAGAAUUGUAAAGGUCAAGCCUUUUCAAAUUUGGUAAAGUCUAGAGGAAAAUAAUGUAAUGAUUAACCAAAAAAUAAUGAAUUUUGAGCAUAAAAGUAUGUACCAUUUCAUUUGAUAAAUCUUGGAACAAAAAUAACAUAAUUUCAUUUUGAAGUACUACUUUAUUUUGAGUCACGAUCCCAUCUUUUAACAUGAUGACACAUAACAAAUUUCUCUAGAAUGCAAAUUUUAUUGAUCUAAUUAAAUGUUUGAUUAAAAAAAUUAUUUAGAGGAUUAAAAUGAAACUAACAAUUUAGUUAAGGGACCAAAAGAGCAAUAUAGUCUAACAUUUUUAAAUUAUAAUUCUAGGAAUGUUUUAAAAUUAUUUAAAAAUUUGUAUAUGUGAUUCAAUAUAUAAUGUUUUUGAAUUAUAAUUAUAUAAUCAAAAUAUAAAAAGGCACAAAAUAUAUAGCUUGAAGACAUGAAAUACCUGAUCCCCCUCCCAAAGUUGUUCAAGAUCGCUAUAAGACAUUUCAAGUGUAACAAGAUUUCUUGGGCAAAAGUCUAGCGGCAAAGAUCUUUGAGGGAAGUAAUCCCAAUGAAGAAAUUUUAAUGCAUCUGGAAAACUCUUAAGAAACCCGUUAAAGGUCACAAUUGAGUUAUGCCUAAAGCCAAUGUAGAAGUUGAUCAUUCUAAGAUGAUGCAUUUUCUUAAAUGUAUCAGCAUCUAGUUGAACUUUCUCGUCUAUGUCUAGGGAUAUACACUUGAUUGCAUCUGUUCCCUUUCCCUAAAAUCAAACAUUAUGAAUUAUUAGAGAUAAAUAAACAGGAAAAAAUUGUUAAUCACUUUGCAACACAUGUGGGAAAUUAAAUUCAUUACAGAGAGCGAUUUAUCAAGUGAUCUUUGAGGGGAUAAAGAACAUACCUUGUUCUUGCUUAAAACAUCGUAAAUAUCACUAGCCUUCCAUAAUCGACUACGUUUUCCAGGAUCAUCGACACAUUGAAGCCUAACAAUUUCAUGCCCCAUUUCUUGUAUUAGAUCAUGCAUCCAAACACUACCAUGUUUUGAAAUAGAUAUAAGGGACCUAUCUUUGAGAACAUCCAUUCCAAUGUCAGCAGAGAAACCACAAGAAUCCAAUGUUAUUGCUACAUCUUUCUCAUAUUGUCCUCUAUGGAAACAAGCUAUGUCAAGAAAUAUAUCCUGUUCGUCUUCGUCAAGUUCAUCAUAACUCAACUUCAACAAUCUGAAAAUUUCUCGAUCGGGAAGCUUUUUAAGCUUUUGCAACUGACUUUCCCAUACUUCAUUUGGUUUGCCACGAAGCAAUGAGCCCAAAACUUUGAGAGCUAAUGGAAGCCCUUUAGCAUAAUGUAAAAUUUUUUCUGUUAAGCUCACAAAAGAUUCUUUUGGAUGGUUUUGUUUAAAGGCAAAUAAACAGAAGAGUUGUAGAGAAUCUUGUUUAUCCAUUUCACUAACUUGAUAUAUUUUAUCAUCACCGGCAUUCAUCAGCACUUGCUUGUCUCUACUAGUCAAAAUGAUUCUACUCCCCUGACCAAAGUUACUAUGUGUUCCAAUUAAACCUUUAAGUUGAUCAGAAUCUUUCACAUCAUCAAAAACAAGAAGAACCUUCAUCCGUUUCAGCCUUGGAUCAAAUGAAAAAUUGUAUUCAGAGGAUGUAAUGUCUCCCCCUAGAAGUUUUGAUAAGUAUUUGCUUUUUACAUGGUCUACUCCAACUCUUUCUAUUUCUUGUUGAACAUUUAGAAUGAUGAUUCUUGAACUAAACUGAGUUGCGAGUUUUUCAAAGAUUGCAGUGGCAAUUGUUGUUUUGCCUAUCCCUCCCAUGCCCCAUAUUCCUAUGAUACGAACAGUCGGCGAUUCAAGUUGCAACAAGGGUUGGAUUUGUUGAAUGUGUUUGUCCAUUCCAGUCAUUUCUUCAGAAUAAUCACUUGAGACAGGACGAUUCAAUUUUUUCAAAAUAUCUUCUGCAAUCUUUUCAACAAGGGUGCUUUCUGGUCUGACAAAUGACAAAUAAUAAUGAUAAAAACUAAAGCAUUAGUAUUCAAGUUUAAUGGAGAAGCACAAACAAUAAUGUAAAAUGAUUUGGAAAAUGCUAAAGUGUGAAUUAAAGUUAUCAUAUUACCAUUAACUUUUUCUUUUAUUUUCUUUUUUAGUAUGUUUAACAAGUAACUAACUGAGACUGAGGGCACCGUUUAGCAUACCAAAUAAUUUUACAUUUUUAUCCAAUAACAAUAACAGACGACCAAUCUACCAUGCAUACAACUAAUUUCAAUAUAACUCUAUGAUUUGUUGGAAUAUAAGAUAUUUAUUGGAUGUUGAUGUAAAACUAUUUUACAUUGUAAAAAUUAAAAAAUAACUAAAAAAGGAGUAGUUAAUAAAUCUUUCUUUUAAUUUAAUUAUACUUCAAAUUCAUAUAUUUUCAUUAAUUAAUAUUUUUUCCUGACAUCAUUAACAUACUCUCUUUGUACCAAAAUAUAAACAACAAUGAGUCAAACAAACUUGUAUCUAAAAUCGUUUGAUAGUUCCCGUGAGCAUAACUCAAUUGUCAUAGACAUUAUAAAUUAUUAAAAGGUAAAAUUCUAGCCAACUCAUGCAUUCACAUGGCCAUUGUUGGUGGGCGUUUAAUUUAGAUCUACCAAUAUUAGGGGUGCACAAAAUAACCGGUUAUAGUGAUUAAUCCACAACCAUAUUCAAAUCCAAAACCAAAAAACCGGUUAAUUCUAAAAUGAAACUAACCGGUUUAUUGAUAUACGGUUGGGUUAUCCAAAUAUAAAAAUCGAUUAUUUAACCGGAUAUCUAUAUCCAAAACCAAUAUCUUUUUGUUGUUUUUGUCAAAGCAAUUUUUUUGUUCUUAUACACUAGUUCCUAAUUUAAUUUUUUUUUUACAAUUAGUUUCUAUUUUAAUUAAUCUUUAUAAAUUGUCAAAAUCAAAAUUAUUAAUUUAAUUUCAUAUUUCCUAAAAGUGGAACAAUCAUUAAAUUAUUCAAAUUCCCAAUUUUUUAUAUGACAAUUUUUCAAAAAGCUCAAAUGCCAAUUUUUCAAAUGAACCAAAGUCCAUUUUACAAACACAUUAAAGCCCAAUUUUUAAAAUUUAUUAUAUAAUUUAAUAAAUAAAUAUUUAAUUCUAAGGGUGGAGGGGCUGGCGGUCAACGCAAGACCACCGGCGGCUGGCGCGGCAGAGCUCUAGCCGACGCGGCGGUGACCAGUGAUUUUCCGGCGAGACACGGCGGCUGGCGGUGGUGUCCAGUGACCGGCCACGCCACCCACCCUUUAAUAUUUUAUUAUAUAUUUUAAUUAUUAUGUGAUGUAAAAACUGUUAUUUUUAAAAUAAUGAAGAAAACAGAUUGUUUUUAAUUUAAAAAAAAAUCAAAUCAGUUUUUUUUCAUAUAAUAAAUAUAAGUAUUUUUUUGUACAUAAAUUUAUGUUUUUUAAUAUUUUAAUUAUUAUUUUAUUUAAAAAAUUUAUUUUUAAAAUAAUUAUAAAACAGGGAUUUUUUAAUGUUUUCAUAUAAAAAAAAUCAAAUCAAAUCUGUGUUUUUUUAAAAAAUAUCCUAUAAUAAAUAUCAGUAUUGUUUUUGUACAUAUAAUUAAUUCAGGCAAAUAUAUAUAGUUUAUGUUAAAAAUUUAAUCUUUUUAAAAUGUAAAGUAAUCAAAAUUAAAAUGGCAUUUAAGUAAUAUCCGGUUUUAAAUUGAAUUUGAUAAAUAACCAAUUUAAAAUCCGAUUUAUAAUUUUAACUAGUUAUGUAACUAUAACCAAAUUUUAUAACCAGUUUAAUAUCCGGUUUAUAAAUGGAUUGGUUUUGGAUAAAAACCGACCAUGAACACCCGUAUCCACCAGUGCCGACUUGUUUAGUGUGUGACUGGAGGGAAUCCAAUUUGCAUGAUCAGUUUGGAAAAAGUUGAGUAACAAUUGCAAUAGCAUGUAAAUAAAUUAGUGACCUGAUUUUUUGUGAAUCCAAGCCUGAGAGAUUGGCUACUUGAGUUAGAGCAGCCUUCCACACGUCCACUUUGCCGCCAAAUCGUUGAUGAUGCUUAGCUAAAUCAUCUGCAUAACUCUCUCUCUGAUGCCUAACAUUUGAUGGAUCCACCUUAUAGAACACUGGUAUCACUUCCCUUUCAUAUUCCUUCUUACAUUUCAGUAUCUCUGUCAGUUCAUCUAAACACCAACUUGAAGAAGCAUAGUGUUCUGAUAAAAUGAUCACAUAAAUUGUUGAUUCUUCAAUUGCUUUGUUCAGUGCUGGUGAAACCUCAUCACCGCUCUCAAUUCUAUAAUCAAUGAAUGUUUCAAUUUUUUUCCUCUGCAAUUCUUUAUCAAGAUGGCUCACGAAGUUGUCACGAGUAUCCUCUCCUCUAAAACUCAGGAACACAUCAUACUUUGGAACAGACAUAGCAAUAGCAGUAUAACAGAAUUGGACGGAGAUGAAUUUCUUUAUUGUUUCUUGUUGGUUUUGUGCAUUUUUCCUUUAGUUUGAACGUUUAUAAAUACUUUGUCAGGAAACUUCCAUGUAUUUUCUAUCUUGUUCACAGCUUGACUAGUUGACUUUGCAUCAGUUAAGUCACGCAAAAACCGAAACAAAGCUAGAGAGCCACUCAUUUGUUAUCUUUUUGAUAAGGAGAAUGUUAACUUGUGCCCUUAAGGCACAUGUUAAGAAGCAAAAAUAGAAAUUAUUAAAUGCUAAUUUGUGCAUUUUGACUUUUGAAGCAUUAAAUUUCUUAUAUCAUUAAAUGUUGAAUUUCUAUUUUGAUAUAUCUUAACAUGUGCCCUAAGGGCACAUGUUAACAAGACCCUUUUGAUAAUCUAGAGAGCCACUCAUUAUUUCCAUGUAUUUUACUUGGACUAUAAUGUCCUCUCUUCUAACUUUUUUUAUGUUAAUCAUAAUUAAGUUUUAGGAUUAUUAUAGAUGUUAGCUAUANNNNNNNNNNNNNGAAGAGGGAUCCACCAAACACACAGCAUCCCCAAUUGGUUCUUCGAUGCUAUUAUCAUCAUUUUCUUUUGUAUACAAAGGACAUAUUCCACAUUCUUUCACCGUCAUGGUUGUUGGAUAACUUAAGGGACGACGAUGCUCAUCUAGGAUCUCAAAAGUGAUAGUGUCUGCACCAAUGAGCCCGUUGCCAAUUGUUGCCAAGUCCAAUUCAUACUUCCAUAGGAAUGUGUGAUCUUGGAAAAAACUUCUAUUUUGACGCAUCCAAUCACAUUUAACUUCAAACUUGAUGGGAUGAAAGUGUGUUUGACCAUCGGAUUCAAAUUUUAAUUGGUAUGUAAAGCAAAUACAAUUAUAUAAAGGUGUGGUUCUGAGAUCAAAUGGAAAGUCACGUCCCAAAACCACACUCAGAGCAAAACCAAUAAGAGAGAUAACUACAUAAAAUCUGCAACGAUUGUUGUGCAAAUAUUUUCACAGAUUUUUGCAUAUCUCUCUUCUCUCUCUCAUAAACCAAAUAAUAUGACAAAUCUACUCAAUUUCUCUUAUUUUUCUCUCCUCAUACUCUCUCACACCUCUUUCUCUCUUUUCAUUUUAUCUUUACAACCAAACAAAGCAUAUAUGAAUUCUUUAUCAUAUUGACUUUUUACAAGAGAGAUAACUCUGCAACGAUUGUUGUGCAAAUAUUUUCACAGAUUUUUGCAUAUAAAAUUAACAAAUAUUUUUUGCAUAUACAAACUACCAAUGUUAUUUGGGAUUUUUGUUAAGUUGCAACAGACUGAACAAUCAAGCAGGGAUAGAAGGUUUAGCUUCGCAAUGCUGUUUGGAAGCGACACCAGAUUACAACAAAGAUUCAGAAACUAGGUUUGCAACCCAACCAAAUACUCCAAUGAUGAAGGCAAAUAUUUAAUUACUGUUUUUGUUAAGUUAAUGUGCGCAAAACUUUCUGCAGGCUUCAAGAUCUUUGGAAAGAUUCUAAGCAUUGAACUUCAAUUGAGUUGUAUAACUGAACACACACACAUGAAAUGUUGCUGUCAUCAUUAGUUGUUACUUCCUCUUGUGGAUUGUUGGUUUUCUUUAGAGGAAGGAGGAAUGCAACACACACAAUUUUAUUGAUACUAUCAUCCUUUAAAUACAUGAAAAACAUAACAUAAAAAACAUAAACAUAAACAUAAACUACCUUAAAUUUGUAACAUACCCACUAAUACUCAUAAUUCCUAUAGUUAAAACUUGUAAAAAUAGGAAUCCUAAGAAACUCAAUAAAUUCUAUUAAACUAUCAAACUCUAUUAAACUUUCAUUUUGUAUCAUAGUUUGUCAAAAAAUAAAACUAUACAUAGUUAUCAAAAUAUUUAAAAUUCAGCAUAUAGCAUGUGCAUAUAACAUUGAUUAUAAACAACAUUUUUUAUCCUUAUACCAAAAAACAACAUUUUUUAUCUAUCAGUGUGAGUUUUUUUAAUUUAAUUUUUCAAAAAUAUUGGCAAUACUUUUUCACCCUCAUAAAAUUUACACUAAAAAAAGUCAAACAUAUAUACUUUGAUUUUCCAAGCCAUGAAAUAUGAAUACUAUAGAUGUUAGCUACACGGAUGUUGUUCCAGUAAAAACAAAAAAAAAACGAAAGAAAAAACAGAUGUGCAUGACAUGCAUUGCUGGUUCUAAGGAAUUACAAAUUUACUAUGAAUGAAACUAUAAAAGAGUAAAUAUCAAUAAUCAACAAUUAAAUUAUUAUUAUUAUUAUUAUUAUUAUUAUUUUGUUAGAAUCUGAACAAUAAAAGAUUACCCGGCACAACCAAUACAAAAAAUAAUAGCAACAAAAUUCUUUUCUAUUUUUUUCUUCUUUAAUUUUGUGUGUAGUAACCACCUAAGGAGAGAUUCAAAUCCAACAAACACACUGCAUCCCCACUUGAUUCUUCAAUGCUAUUAUCAUCAUUUUUUUUGGCAUACAGAGGACAUAAUCCACAUUCUUUCACUGUCAUGGUUGAUGGAAAACUUAACGGACGACGAUGGUUGUCUAGGAUCUGAAAAGUGAUAGUGUCUGCAUCAAUGAGCCCGUAGCCAAUUGUUGCCAAGUCCAAUUCAUACUUCCAUAAGAAUGUGUGAUGUUGGGAAAAUCUUCUCAUUGGCAUCCAAUCAUAUUUACCUUCAAACUUGUUGGGAUGAAAGUGUAUUUGACCAUGAUCAGGUUCAAAUUUUAAUUGGUAUGUAAAGCCAAUACAAUUAUACCAAGGUGCUAUGCUGCUGCUGAGAUCAAAUGGAAAGUCACGUCCCAAAACCACACACAGAGCAAAACCAAUAAGCUUGUUUCCCCCAUACAAAUAUAAAUCAUCACUUCUUAUAGUUAUUGAAUGUCCCUGGCAACGGUGACGGAACCAAUAAGGAAUUGCACUUCCUGGAAAACAGAACAACACUGACCUAUAUGCAUCAUCUUUGAUCUUAAUAUAUGCUUCCUCUUCAAUUUUACUCAAAGAAGUACCAUCUAGUUCUUCACUAUUGGUCAGAUUAAAUUUGAAGGUACUUUUUUGGAAAUCAGACCUUGAAUUUAGCAUCAUUCUCUUAAUGGAAGGGCAAUCAAAUGCCAAAACUUGGUUUAGAUUUGGUGGAAGCUUUGGAACACAU